rnacentral:rRNA from 1 species
UAGGUGAACCUGUGGAAGGAUCAUUU